rnacentral:sRNA from 18 species
GGAAGCCGGUGUGAAUCCGGCGCGGUCCCGCCACUGUGAUCGCUCGGUCAGCGCGCUGACCGGCGAGAGCCAGACAC